rnacentral:rRNA from 1 species
GGGUUGUGAGGUUAAGCGACUAAGCGUACACGGUGGAUGCCCUGGCAGUCAGAGGCGAUGAAGGACGUGCUAAUCUGCGAUAAGCGUCGGUAAGGUGAUAUGAACCGUUAUAACCGGCGAUUUCCGAAUGGGGAAACCCAGUGUGUUUCGACACACUAUCAUUAACUGAAUCCAUAGGUUAAUGAGGCGAACCGGGGGAACUGAAACAUCUAAGUACCCCGAGGAAAAGAAAUCAACCGAGAUUCCCCCAGUAGCGGCGAGCGAACGGGGAGGAGCCCAGAGCCUGAAUCAGUGUGUGUGUUAGUGGAAGCGUCUGGAAAGGCGCGCGAUACAGGGUGACAGCCCCGUACACAAAAAUGCACAUACUGUGAGCUCGAUGAGUAGGGCGGGACACGUGGUAUCCUGUCUGAAUAUGGGGGGACCAUCCUCCAAGGCUAAAUACUCCUGACUGACCGAUAGUGAACCAGUACCGUGAGGGAAAGGCGAAAAGAACCCCGGCGAGGGGAGUGAAAAAGAACCUGAAACCGUGUACGUACAAGCAGUGGGAGCACGCUUAGGCGUGUGACUGCGUACCUUUUGUAUAAUGGGUCAGCGACUUAUAUUCUGUAGCAAGGUUAACCGAAUAGGGGAGCCGAAGGGAAACCGAGUCUUAACUGGGCGUUAAGUUGCAGGGUAUAGACCCGAAACCCGGUGAUCUAGCCAUGGGCAGGUUGAAGGUUGGGUAACACUAACUGGAGGACCGAACCGACUAAUGUUGAAAAAUUAGCGGAUGACUUGUGGCUGGGGGUGAAAGGCCAAUCAAACCGGGAGAUAGCUGGUUCUCCCCGAAAGCUAUUUAGGUAGCGCCUCGUGAAUUCAUCUCCGGGGGUAGAGCACUGUUUCGGCAAGGGGGUCAUCCCGACUUACCAACCCGAUGCAAACUGCGAAUACCGGAGAAUGUUAUCACGGGAGACACACGGCGGGUGCUAACGUCCGUCGUGAAGAGGGAAACAACCCAGACCGCCAGCUAAGGUCCCAAAGUCAUGGUUAAGUGGGAAACGAUGUGGGAAGGCCCAGACAGCCAGGAUGUUGGCUUAGAAGCAGCCAUCAUUUAAAGAAAGCGUAAUAGCUCACUGGUCGAGUCGGCCUGCGCGGAAGAUGUAACGGGGCUAAACCAUGCACCGAAGCUGCGGCAGCGACGCUUAUGCGUUGUUGGGUAGGGGAGCGUUCUGUAAGCCUGUGAAGGUGUACUGUGAGGUAUGCUGGAGGUAUCAGAAGUGCGAAUGCUGACAUAAGUAACGAUAAAGCGGGUGAAAAGCCCGCUCGCCGGAAGACCAAGGGUUCCUGUCCAACGUUAAUCGGGGCAGGGUGAGUCGACCCCUAAGGCGAGGCCGAAAGGCGUAGUCGAUGGGAAACAGGUUAAUAUUCCUGUACUUGGUGUUACUGCGAAGGGGGGACGGAGAAGGCUAUGUUGGCCGGGCGACGGUUGUCCCGGUUUAAGCGUGUAGGCUGGUUUUCCAGGCAAAUCCGGAAAAUCAAGGCUGAGGCGUGAUGACGAGGCACUACGGUGCUGAAGCAACAAAUGCCCUGCUUCCAGGAAAAGCCUCUAAGCAUCAGGUAACAUCAAAUCGUACCCCAAACCGACACAGGUGGUCAGGUAGAGAAUACCAAGGCGCUUGAGAGAACUCGGGUGAAGGAACUAGGCAAAAUGGUGCCGUAACUUCGGGAGAAGGCACGCUGAUAUGUAGGUGAAGUCCCUCGCGGAUGGAGCUGAAAUCAGUCGAAGAUACCAGCUGGCUGCAACUGUUUAUUAAAAACACAGCACUGUGCAAACACGAAAGUGGACGUAUACGGUGUGACGCCUGCCCGGUGCCGGAAGGUUAAUUGAUGGGGUUAGCGCAAGCGAAGCUCUUGAUCGAAGCCCCGGUAAACGGCGGCCGUAACUAUAACGGUCCUAAGGUAGCGAAAUUCCUUGUCGGGUAAGUUCCGACCUGCACGAAUGGCGUAAUGAUGGCCAGGCUGUCUCCACCCGAGACUCAGUGAAAUUGAACUCGCUGUGAAGAUGCAGUGUACCCGCGGCAAGACGGAAAGACCCCGUGAACCUUUACUAUAGCUUGACACUGAACAUUGAGCCUUGAUGUGUAGGAUAGGUGGGAGGCUUUGAAGUGUGGACGCCAGUCUGCAUGGAGCCGACCUUGAAAUACCACCCUUUAAUGUUUGAUGUUCUAACGUUGACCCGUAAUCCGGGUUGCGGACAGUGUCUGGUGGGUAGUUUGACUGGGGCGGUCUCCUCCUAAAGAGUAACGGAGGAGCACGAAGGUUGGCUAAUCCUGGUCGGACAUCAGGAGGUUAGUGCAAUGGCAUAAGCCAGCUUGACUGCGAGCGUGACGGCGCGAGCAGGUGCGAAAGCAGGUCAUAGUGAUCCGGUGGUUCUGAAUGGAAGGGCCAUCGCUCAACGGAUAAAAGGUACUCCGGGGAUAACAGGCUGAUACCGCCCAAGAGUUCAUAUCGACGGCGGUGUUUGGCACCUCGAUGUCGGCUCAUCACAUCCUGGGGCUGAAGUAGGUCCCAAGGGUAUGGCUGUUCGCCAUUUAAAGUGGUACGCGAGCUGGGUUUAGAACGUCGUGAGACAGUUCGGUCCCUAUCUGCCGUGGGCGCUGGAGAACUGAGGGGGGCUGCUCCUAGUACGAGAGGACCGGAGUGGACGCAUCACUGGUGUUCGGGUUGUCAUGCCAAUGGCACUGCCCGGUAGCUAAAUGCGGAAGAGAUAAGUGCUGAAAGCAUCUAAGCACGAAACUUGCCCCGAGAUGAGUUCUCCCUGACUCCUUGAGAGUCCUGAAGGAACGUUGAAGACGACGACGUUGAUAGGCCGGGUGUGUAAGCGCAGCGAUGCGUUGAGCUAACCGGUACUAAUGAACCGUGAGGCUUAACCUUACAACGCCGAAG